CAGGUUGCUGUGGGAGGUGGGAGGAAAUAAGUGAAUGGCUCGGAGGAUCUUUUCAAACCACGCAUUCCUCAGGCCCUACUCUGGAUCUAUUGAAUCAGAAUUUCUGGUACUGGGAUUGAGAAUGAGUGUGGGAGUCCAGUGUGUCUUUUGAAUUAGGAGGUAAUUGGAGAAUCGAGGAGUUUUAGGGAAGAGGUAAGGAAUGUUUGCUUGUGAGACUAAGGAGUGGAUAGAGAGGUACAGACCAGAGAUAUAGAGACUGAGGGUCAAGAGGAGGUGAGAGGGAGAAAGGCAGGAGCAAGGUGGAUUAAAGGGAACCAGAGGAGACACCCUCCAUUCCCUGGAAGAAGAAAGGCAUGAAAAGAUAUGGAUGUAAAUGAGCCUGAAACUGGAGGGAGUGCAGACAGCCUGAGGUCGGGACUGAGGAUUGCCAUUUUCUCUCUGGAGUGGACUGUAAGGCAUGGUUGGCUGCAGAGAGAGGAGAGGGAGGUUCCGAGAGGCAAAGUAAUUUCUUGGAGCUUCUACAAGGGCCACAUUCCAAUUGGCUUGAAGAGGAACAUGCACGUUGAAAGGCAACACUGAGAGCGUUGAGGUCAGGUCAACAGGGGAAGAAAGAUUUCACCAUCAUGGUAAUAUCAAAAGAGUGCCUUAAAAUGAAAAAAUGAUCCUUGUUUACUUUUCUGGAAAGAAAGCUGUUGGAUACUACUGACAAGGAGUGUUAUGCCCGUGACUACAUGAUGUGCCGUUCUUGUCAAGUCAUGAGAAGUGUCCAAAAAAGAGAAAAAGAAACUCUUAAUCAUUUGGAUCUAUCCUAAAACCUCCAAAUGUAACCUAGGAGAUGCAGUUAUUUUGUUUUUUGUUUCUUCAUGUAAUGCCAUUUUGGUAUCCGUCCUCAUUUAUAUAUCGUAAAAAAGCAUUACUCUUUUUUAAUAUUAUAUUAUUACUACAUUUGUAUGGUUCUUAUCAGUUUUUACUGAUCAUUUCUUAGGACAGGAUACCUUGAAUCAAAGAAUGAACAUGUUUAAUGGUGUUUGUUGAAAAAAAAAUGUAUCCAUACCAAUUUUUUGGUACCCUCAGGGCAAAAUAUAUCUCAUUGCAACAUUUCUUGGCUUGAUGCAGGACAGAGGCAGAGACUGCAGGGGAAGUACUCCAUAUGAAAACAUUCUAAAUCAAGGAACUCAAAAAGUCAAGUAGGCACUACUCAAUUGGAGUAAUUAGCAGAAUAGUCCACCUAAUGCUGAAGUGCCAGCAGGUAACCAGAGCAGCAUCUUGAUUAUUUCACUGUUUAAAUGCAUGCAGAACAUGAUAUACUACUACAACCAAAGGGCCCCUGGCAUUUUCUAGGUAGGCUUCCCCCUAACAUUACUGUUCAGUCAUUUUCCCUGAGGUUAAGAUGGCUGGACAGUAUCUCUUUGGAAACAAUAUGAAUUUCAAUAAGGCCAUAAAGGAACACAUUUGAGGAGCUCAGCUGUGCUUGAGUUUCUCAGCUAAAUAAUUUAGAAAAUUUCUUAUUUCUGGUUGACAUCCUCUAAUUGUGUGACAAGGAUGGAUAUGUCAUAGAAGCUGACAGGUAGCAUUCUGAGUCAUCCAUCCCUGGUCCCAGGAUGCUGCCAGGGUAGUUUUUUCUUUUGUGUCAUCACGAUAUUGUGUGUGUGGGAGUGUGUUUUGAGAGUGAGCCAUGAGGUUCCCUGCACAGAAGAGUGACACCAGAAUGCCCUAGCUCAGGCUCCCCCUUAGCCAGGGGAGUUCAGGAUGGUCCAUCCCCAGCAUCACUGUACCUUGCCCUGGCUCCUAGCAGUGGCAGCAGUGGACCAUGGAGAUGGGCAGGAGCCUUUGAUGGCCCAGUGCUCCAGGAAAUACUUCCAGAACCUAUGGCAGCCUGGUCCAGGGCUCCCAGCCUAGCCUUCAGACAAAUGUUUUCAGAACAAUGGCUACUGGUAGCAGAGAACUAGGUUCUCUUAGAAAUUCAGGGUCCAGCAAUUCAUGCUCCU
ensembl:lncRNA